UACGUAGGGGGCAAGCGUUGUCCGGAUUCAUUGGGCGUAAAGAGCGUGUAGGCGGCCAGGUAGGUCGGUUGUGAAAACUGGAGGCUCAACCUUCAGGGGUCGACCGAAACCAUCUGGCUAGAGUCCGGGAGAGGAGAGUGGAACUGCGAGUGUAGAGGUGAAAUUCGUAGAUAUUCGCAAGAACACCAGUGGCGAAGGCGGCUCACUGGCCCGGUACUGACGCUGAGGUGCGAAAGCGUGGGGAGCAAACAGG
rnacentral:rRNA from 1 species